UGGUAUAUAGCUCAAUGGUAGAGUGUGUGCUUAGCAUGCACGAGGUCCUGGGUUCAAUCCCCAGUAACUCCA
rnacentral:tRNA from 1 species